UACGUAGGUGGCAAGCGUUGUCCGGAUUUACUGGGUGUAAAGGGCGUGCAGCCGGGAGAGCAAGUCAGAUGUGAAAUGCAGGGGCUUAACCCCUGAACUGCAUUUGAAACUGUUUUUCUUGAGUGUCGGAGGGGCAAUCGGAAUUCCUAGUGUAGCGGUGAAAUGCGUAGAUAUUAGGAGGAACACCAGUGGCGAAGGCGGAUUGCUGGACGACAACUGACGGUGAGGCGCGAAAGUGUGGGGAGCAAAC
rnacentral:rRNA from 1 species